UUUUUAGUAAAAUCGAAUCAGAAUCAACAAAACAAACAAUUUGAUACCAAGCUGUUAUAUAUUUUAAACAGAAAACGCAACACCAACAGCACCCCCCCCCCCCACAUGUUUUACAAAUAUUAAGCGCGCUUGCUCAUGACGCCGUUAUUAACACGUCAAACGACAAAAGUCAUAUUCGUUCCCGCUAAAACUGCAGCAUUUAAGCGUUUUUUCAUUAUUUCUUUAGUAUCGGGCACGUGAAGGUAUGAUAAACAGAAACACAGGUUACUGUCUGAUCUUUUUGUAAUAUAUCAGGCUCGGCACGAAUAAAAUAACGGCUCGGUAAGCCACGCCGUUAUAUUAAUCUUAGCCAUGCCUGAUAUAUUACAAAACGAUCAGACAGUAUCCUGUUAUUUUAUAUAUAUAGAGCACAAAACACACAGGCUGUCUACAUGAGCAACAGAUGAUCAUUGUUUUAUGUUUCUAAAGGAUUUGUUUGUUGUACCUUCAUAUGAAUGGUCGUUUUACCUUGAUAUGAAUGGUCAUUGUAUAAACAAUGAAAACCAGAUAUGUGUUAAUAAAUACAGAAAGGGUUUACGUUUAUAAAACGAAUCAUAGGCACAAUAACGUUUAACCAUUAAAAACAGUGUUCUGUAUACUUAUAGCAAUAAAGCGCUUUCUUUCUCCCUCUUUCAAUUCUCGAGUUAAUAAUUCACCGAAGUACCUGUUUUGUAUUUUCACGCGGCCAUUAUGAAUAAACCGUCGAACGUAUGUCAGUAAUCGAUGUAGUUUGGUGAAUUGUCGGCUGUUGGACAGUACUUCAAAUGAACAUUUCCGGUGAUUCCACAGAUUUCGUUUUAACCGUCUUGAAACGAACUUCUUAAGUGGCUUAGUAGACGACAACCAGUACAGCACAAUCUGGCUGUCCGACCAAUAAAUGAUAUCAUCAAUGUUGAGUGAUGAUCGUAAAUGGUCUGCGAGUCUCGGGCCCACUACUGCAGCCAUAAGUUCGAGUUGUGGUAAUGUGAGCUUUUUCAGGGGUGCCACUCUAUUUUGCGACAUGAUCAAUCAGCUUUCUUUGUUUCUCACAAUGUAUGCAGUUGCUCCGUAGGAUUGCUCGCUUGCGUCAACGAAGACGUGUAAUUGCGGGUGUUCUGUGUCUUAUUCUUGGAAAUAGUACCGCGGGAACCGAACACCGGAAGCGGCAUUAAAGUCGUCUGCAAUACAGUUCAAUUGGUACUGAUAUUCUGUGUCGAGUGGAAUGUCCAAGUCGAUUUUUACCUUCAAAAGGUCUUGCAUCAACAAUUUUGCCCUGACUGUCACGGGGCUAAGAAGUCCUAGCGGGUCGAAAAUCUGUGCCGAAUGUUUCACAAUGGUUCAGUAACAUUUUUUUUGUGGUAGGGAUUUUUUCGCGAUGAAAUAUAGGGUGUUCUCUGUAGUGUUCCAGAGCAUUCCAAUGGCCUUGCCAUCGGCAUUCUUUUCUUCUAUACAAACGGAAGUAGCAACUUCUUUCAGAUUAAUGCUGUUUGAUGUCCAAAAUCUGAGAGUCAUCCCGGCAUUUCAAAUCAACUUUCUAGAAUCGUGAAAGAACUGCAUCAUGUCUUCUUCAUUCUCGAAACUCCCGUCGUAUGAUAGCAGACGCUGCUUUUUCGGUGUUGGUACUCAGGUGUUUCAUAAGCGUGGCAUUCAGAAUAAAUGGUGAUCACGUGGCGCCAAAUAAAAGUACACGGAAUCUGUAAGGAAUUAAACGGCUUAACGGGUUAUUGGGGUCGUCAGGCCAGAAAUAAACGUGUUAUAUCCCGAUCUUUCUCAUGUAAGCCAACGUGUAGAAACGCUUUUUCAAUGUCCGUCGUCACAACAAACCGAUUCAUUCUAAAGCGCGUAAGGAUGGCAGUCAGUUCAUUAAGAAUUGGCUGGGUUGACUGAAGGCAAUCAUCCAGGCUUGGGUCAUCACUUGACUGUCUGUUUCUGCAAUCAUAAACGAUUUUUAAAGGGGUGGUAAUUGAAUUUUUCAUUUUUCACUUCGUGAUGUGGUAUAUAAUGCACUGGAGCCUGGGAAUCGUCUGUAACAUUUUCAAUGAAGCCUCUUCUUUCUUGAUCUUGUAUGAUUGAGCUGUACGCUUUUAGCAUUUCCGGUUCCUGUCGGAGUCUCCUCAUUGCGCUCUGUGAUCUUCUUAGGGCGAUAUCAUGGUUCGAAGGGAGAUCUGGAUGGUCGUCUUUCCAUAGCAACUUGGCGACAUAUCUACCAUCGCAGAACUAUAUGCUGCUCUCCUGAUAUUGUUCCAUCGUGUCCUGGAGAUUUCGCUCAGUUGUGGAAUCAUUAAUACCAAUAAUCUCUAGCGACCAAAACUUUUCAAGGGUGGUAGUAAUCACAUUUAAACAUGUAAUGACGCUGAUGACUUGAUGCACAGGUCGUUGAGUUGUGUCAUGCGGUAUCGGUCCAGACAAAAGGUAUCCGAUUUUCGAUUUUACAGCAGUUGGACCAUUUCCGCGUAUCACACGAUCCUCCACUAUGUCCCAAUAAAAGACAACACCAAUACGAACAGAGAUGUUCAUGUGCCUAUGUUCAUGGAUGGGAUGGACUAAUUUCAGACCACAGAGAUGGGGUAACUGACUAACUGCGGAAGUAAAACAGUUCUUAAUAGGGGCGGCAAUCUUUGGAACGUUAAGUACACCAAUAGGAAUCUUGUCUUCGCCGUCCGUCUGCAGAUACACAGCCGCAGUUUCAACACGCUGUACUUGCUUCUUCAAACCACUGAAUUGUUUCUGUGCUUUCAUGUGUGAGUUUCAACAUUUGGGCAAACUCUUAUAUGAUAAACGAUCUCUGCGAUCCCUCGUCAAACAAGAUUGCGGCGUCCGAGGAAACCGUCUGUGAUGAAACUGUAGCUACCGCCGUCUUCAGGAGAAUUGAAGUGUGUCUACUAUGAGCAGUAGACAUUUGUAACACGGGCGUUUCCGGUUUCCGUUGUUUGACUUCCGGUAUAUCGUGUGGAGGGCUCAUCUCGCAUAUUGAUGUAUGAUGUUUUUUACCACAAUUCUGACAUCGGUGUUUUGAACGGCAUAGUGAGACUUGAUGACUUCCAAGGCAAUUAAAGCACAGUUUCUUCUGUUUUACAACUGUUAGGCUGCUGGCUGCGUCCUUGAACGUGGAACAAGCUGACGGCUUGUGCUCGUCGCUGCAAAAUUGGCAUCGCACUUCGAUGUGUUUAUUUUGUGUGGUGUGCGGCUUCAUCUGUAUUGUAUUCCAUGAUUUAAACGUUCAAGCUGUGUAGAAUGCGCUAGCUAACCCGAAUGCCGAUCCCUGAUCUGCAUUUAGGCCGGCUUCGGCAAUUUCAAUCUCACGAAAUAUCGCACAACGCAAUUUUCUCAGAAUCCAGUGUCUGUCGCCGUGUUUGCGCGCUUAAUGUUUGCGUAAUUCCCCCGGGAGUUUAUCGAGGAUAAUGGGUACUAGCAACCCACCAAACGUUGUUUGAUCCUGUCCCAACGAUUCAAGGCCUCGACUAAGCGUUUCCAUUUUGUCAUAGAAUUGACUAAGAGUAUGCAAUGAAUUCGUUGGCGCUGAUAAUUGCACGAGGGCCUGCAUAGUGGCAUGAAUUAAUUUUUGAGAUUGUCAAUAUCUCUGUCGAAACAGAUCAAAAGCCUUGUGAUAGUAAGCAUUUGUAAGCGAAAACCCUUCUAUAGUCCUAGCAAAAUCAUGUUCAAGUUGGGAUUUAAAAUAAUUGAACAUCUGAACAUCAGUUAAAUUGGAUUGAAAUGCACUGUCCUUUCAAAGGAAUCCCAAAAUGUUUGCCAAUGCAAUAUGUAGCCAUCAAAUGACGGGAAAGUCAAUUUUGGAAGUCUGUGAAAACAAGUAGUAUUUGAAUGGGACCCCGAACUUACAGUUGCAGUGAUGGCUUGCGGAGGAUCUCUAACAUACCAGUUGCAGUUUAAUGAAGACGAGUGACCGGCGAGAUAAAUGUGCUGUCCAGUAGGCGCUGUGGUUGAAGUGUGUAUCCUAGAAGGCAACUCAGUGGAAGUCGACUGUAGCUCAAAGGGUGUGAUAAAGGACGUCGGGGGUACCCAAGAUGGCGCUGUGGCGAAAUCGUCGAUUUCCCUGAUUGUGAGGUUUCAAAACUUUGUGGAAGCCAUACUUGCGUUGUGGCGGAAGUCGGCAGUGACCAAGUCUGCGUGGUUGCGGAGUUUUGCGGUAGUCCAGUAACUACAUCGACAGUGGUUGGUUGUAUUAUGCAUACAUUCUAACCACUUUGGAUUACUGUUGUACGAUCUGGGGCAACGCUAAUAAAACCAAUUUAACAAAAGUGAAUGUUUUAUAAAAAUGCGCAGCGAAAGUCAUUCUACAGAAGCCAAAUAGAACACCAUCCAAAGAAUUGUUUUUACAGCUUAAUUGGAUCUCGUUUAAUAAUAGAUGUAAAUACCACACGGCAAUCUUGAUAUAUAAAUGUGUCAACAAUCAGACUCCAGAAUAUUUAAAUGAUAUUACAACUUUUUCUCGAAAUCACAAAUAUAACUUAAAAUCGGACGCCAAUAACGAUAUUGUUAAUACCAAAGCGAAUACAGGUUUUAAGAAACGAGCUUUUUCAUACCAUAUCAUGGAUGUUUGGAACAGUAUACCAAUUGAAAUAAGAAUGGCAUGCUCUAUCUCUGAUUUUAAAAGGCAAUAUAAACAACAUUUAUUUUCUAAUCAAUGAUAUUUCAUGUUAUUUUCUAAUCACUGAUAUUUCAUGUGUGUCUGUCUAAAAGGCAAAAUGUGUGUUAUGUAUCGGUGUAAGAAAUAUUGUUUGAAUGUUUUACUUGUUAUAGACCUAUAUGUGUAUGUUAUUUUAAGAAGGCCACAUUGUGAAAAUGUAUUUAUUCAUCUGCAUAAUAUGUAUAAUUUGUCAUUGUCUUUAUGUGUAACCUUCUGUACAUAAAGCUUUUAUAAUUAUUAUUAUUAUUAUUAUUAUUAUUCUUAUUAUUAUUCUUAUUAUUAUUAUUAUUAGCCCGUAGGGCGCCUGUGCGAUGGAAUUCGACGAAAGUUCAUAUAGUACUUCGACGGAUGCUGGUGAUACAAGCAUGCUCUUAUCAGUGAUGACUGGAGCCGACGGCAGACCUAGGAGAUGCCACAGGGACUUAGGAUUUUGAAUCUGCUACUUUUGGACCGCACCUUGGGGACAUCGUAGAGAGAGUAACGAUAGGCAUACCUCAACAAUCAUUCUCUGAUUGUGUGAAGAAGUGCGCUUUACGACCAUGGUGCAAAUUGUUGGGUUAUCACCGCAUGGCGUUGGUUUGCGAACUGCAUUUCGACCUCACCAUCUUGGAACACAUAAGCGCCUUUGGCGGCAAUCCUAAAACGAUGAUGUACAUACACAGGAAAGAUCUUAAUACACAGGACAAAGAAAAGUGCGACAAGGAGUGUCCAUAUCAUUCUACAUCGCUGCUGCAAACAUGUGACUUCACAUCAGGAACUUCAAACAAGUGCCGUACAGACGGCGGCAGAGCCCAACGGAAUGAUCCUCGGAAACAUGCACAUGGAAGGUCAUAGACGCAGGCUGGAAUGUAACCAUGGUUACCUACCGCUCGAUCUCAACAAUGUGACGAGUCAAUGUCAGAACGGGCGCUGGACGAACGUGACCACUUGUGUUCAAGUAUGUCCUAAGUUUGAGAAAAUAAACCUUGGAAAAGUGGCCGGCGACUCUAUUUAUGAAAAUGCCACUAGACAUUUGAUUUGCGAUGAUGGCUACAGUCCCCUUGACCCAGCAAAACUUGUCAGCCAAUGUACAAAGGGCGAAUGGACGGAAAUAACGAAGUGUGUUCCAGACUGCGGUACGUUGUCGGCACCAAUGAACGGAGAGGUAGAUCUAUCGCAGGGGAUCAAGUUCGGGGCCAAGGCAUCAUUCACGUGUCAGACCGGCUUCACGCUCGAGGGGCUACCCUCCCCGACAUGCACUUCCGCCGGAACUUGGAGCUCAGCAGCGCCUCUGUGUCAAAUAAACGGCCAUAACGGCCCCAUCCAGCGGUACAAUCGACCAGCGUAUGUAAGGCUAUAACGGCCCCAUCCAGCGGUACAAUCGACCAGCGUAUGUAAGGCUAUAACGGCCCCAUCCAGCGGUACAAUCGACCAGCGUAUGUAAGGCUAUAACGGCCCCAUCCAGCGGUACAAUCGAAUAGCACAAAAACUUAAAAUGGCAAAAUAAAUUGGACGGAUUGCUAGAUUACGCAUGUCCAAACAAAAACCAGUUCAUCAAUCACGUGAUAAGCCAGCAUCACAAUCACAAGGAAGAUCGACAAUUCGACUUCACGUGCAGUGACGUCGUUUCUGGCUAUGAUGAUUCGACAACAACGUGCACGUAUUCAGGGUGGGUUAAUGAAUUUGAUCAGCCGGUCAACUUUCGGUGUCCGGACGACGGCUUCAUACAUGGCAUGAGGAGCGAGCACAACAACCAUCACGAAGACCGGAAAUGGGACUUUUUUGCUGCAAGAUUCCAGAAAUCCGCAUGAUCAGCUGUAAACACACCGGCUGGACAAAUGAUUGGGAUGGCGACCAGAGCUACUAUGUGCCAGCUGAACACGUGAUGGUGGGCGUGAGGUCAGAGCAUGACAACGGCCACGAAGAUCGGCGCUUCGCCUACGAAAUAUGCCGAAUUCAACAGUAACCAAUUCGACGGUUGUAGGAGUGCAUAUCCCUCAAACAUGUAACGCAGAGACAUGCCAAUUUACAGCACUAUCGACUUCUGAUGAUCUUAGCGCCACCUCCAAUGCAUUUGCACCGCAUCUUUUGGAAAAAAAGCAAUAAUAGCUACUUGAUCGACACUAAACAUUUUUCCUAAUCUUAAAACGUUUAUAUUUUGAAAGCAACUGAUUGGUGUCAUAUCUUAUAUAAUUAAGUGGAAACUUCUUCUUCACACAGGCAUGUUUAACAUUCCAUCAUGUAGUUCAACUUAAAGGUAUUAAAGUGUCCAAAUGGGA